GCCGCGGGUGUCGGGAGGAAGGAUGUGGCACUACAGCAGCCUGGGCUGUUUGCAUGAACCUUAUGACUGACGGCAGCACCUGCCUUCCCGCCAGAGUGUGAGGCUCCGUAGCUGUGGCCAGCGGAGCUGGCAGAGCACACAGGAGUGACCUGUCCCAGCAAGAAUGCGGAGCUUGAGCCUGAGCGGCCUCCUGGGCAGAAGUGCGGGGCACACUUUGCUGCAUUUUGCUGCUGGAGGAAGGAGCAGGUUCCGUGUGGAUCCUCCCCACCUGCCGUCUCCCAGGACAGGAGAACUUUGGAGACGGCACCUGGAGUCUUGGACCCUGCUGGAUGUCUUUUCCCUCGUUGGCCCUGUGGUGUAUCCUUCUGUGGAGACAAACCACACCCAGGAACGCCGCCGCUGCUGAGUCCUGAGUGUAUCUUCCAGCCCCUCCCUGAGUGUAUCUUUCUGUGGAGACAAACCACACCCAGGAAUGCCACCACUGCUGAGUCCCGAGUCCUUCCAGCCCCGCCCUGAGUGUGCAGAGGCCGUGGGGCCUGACACUGCAUGACGGGCAGUGUGCUGCUCACCCAAGCCUCAGAACAAAGUAUGAAACUGAUUGCUUUCCAUCGACACAUCCAGCCCAGCUGAGCCUGGAGGCCGAUUUCAC
rnacentral:lncRNA from 1 species